rnacentral:ribozyme from 1 species
AAAUUCAGAGAAACCCUAGAAUGAAAAAAAUGGACAAUCCUGAGCCAAAUCCUAUUUUCUGAAAAUAAAUAAAGGUUUAAAAAAGAAGGAUAGGUGCAGAGACUCAAU